rnacentral:tRNA from 1 species
GGGCGAGUGGUGAAACUGGCAGACACGUAGCGUUCAGAGCGCUAUGAUCGCAAGAUCGUGGAGGUUCAAAUCCUCUCUCGCCCA